UGAGUAAUGUCUGGGAAACUGCCCGAUAGAGGGGGAUAACUACUGGAAACGGUAGCUAAUACCGCAUAACCUCGUAAGAGCAAAGUGGGGGACCUUCGGGCCUCACGCUAUCGGAUGUGCCCAGAUGGGAUUAGCUAGUAGGUGGGGUAAUGGCUCACCUAGGCGACGAUCCCUAGCUGGUCUGAGAGGAUGACCAGCCACACUGGAACUGAGACACGGUCCAGACUCCUACGGGAGGCAGCAGUGGGGAAUAUUGCACAAUGGGCGCAAGCCUGAUGCAGCCAUGCCGCGUGUAUGAAGAAGGCCUUCGGGUUGUAAAGUACUUUCAGCGAGGAGGAAGGCAUUAAGGUUAAUAACCUUGGUGAUUGACGUUACUCGCAGAAGAAGCACCGGCUAACUCCGUGCCAGCAGCCGCGGUAAUACGGAGGGUGCAAGCGUUAAUCGGAAUUACUGGGCGUAAAGCGCACGCAGGCGGUCUGUCAAGUCGGAUGUGAAAUCCCCGGG
rnacentral:rRNA from 1 species